AUUCCAGGAGGAGGCUCCUCCAGGCUCCUCAGAGGCCACACAGAGGGUCCCCAGCACAGCUUACUGCUUAGUGUCUCCUGUGCCACGGAGGAAGACAUGUGGCAGGAGUACCCAGUGCUAAUAUGUGUUCAUGUCUGUGGCGAUGCUGACCAUCCGGCUGGUUUGAACCAGGAUAAAAGUGAAGACGUCGUCUGUGAAGACCCAACUCUUUCUUUGGCUCUUCUGUGGAAUCCAUCUUUGCUCUGCUGUCCUCUGCUGCCCAGAAUCUGCAUCCCUGAGAUCCCCCAAAUCAGUACUCAUGGUGCCUUUGCAGUUGUUUGUGGAUAAGCAUAGAGUGAUGAAGAAUUUGAGUUAUCCGACAUGGAUGUUCCCAGAUGAUGUUGAAUAAGGCGCUCAUUCCAGAGGUGUCCUGCCCCAUACCGAAGAUGAAGGAAUGCUACCCAGAGAGGCCAAGAAGAAUCUGCACAGACAAGCCUUGUGUGUUCCCUGCUCAGUCUAUCACAAUUAGAUUCUUCUCUUUGUCCAGUCACGUUUCUACAUGGUUGCCAUUCUUCACUGAACCUAAACAGAAAAUCAGUUUUCCCUGGGUGUUUGGGUCUUCAUUUCUGACGGCUGCUGUGUCCUGUACAAUUUUGAUUAAAUAAAUUUAUUAUGCAUUUGAUAUGGUUUGGUAUGUCCUCACCCAAAUCUCUUCUUGAAUUAUAGUUCCCAUCAUCCCCAUGUGUCCUGAGGGACCCAGUGGGAGGUAAUGGAAUCAUGGGGGUGGUUACCUCCAUGCUAUUCUUAUGAUAGUGAGUUCUCACAAGAUCUGAUGGUUUUAUAAGGCGCGUUCCCUCCUUCUGCUUGGCACUUCUCCUCCUGCUGCCAUGUGAAGAAGGACGUGUUUGCUUCCCCUUCCACCAUGAUUGUGUUUCCUGAGGCCUCCCCAUCCAUGCUGAACUGCGAGUGAAUUAAACCUCUUUCCUUUUAAAUUACCCAGUCUUGGGUAUGUCUUCAUUAGUAGUAUGAGAACAGAUGAAUAUAGCAUUUCUCUUGUUAACCUGUUUUUUGUUGCAAGUGUUGGCUCUGACCUUUAUAAUGGAUAUGAAAAAGUAUUGCAGCUUUCUGUCUCUAUACUGGUUAAGUCUUUCUCACAUCAUGUCCCUUUGAUACCCACUCUCCUGCCUCCUUUUUCCACAUUUAAAGACCCUUGUAAUUACACUGCGCCCACCUGGAUAAUCCAGGAUUAUCUCCCUAUUUUAAGGUCAGCUGAUUAGCAACCUUAAUUCCAUCUGCUACCUUAAUUCCUCUGUG
rnacentral:lncRNA from 1 species